rnacentral:rRNA from 1 species
CAGUAGCGCGGUAAUACGAAGGGGGCUAGCGUUGCUCGGAAUCACUGGGCGUAAAGGGUGCGUAGGCGGGUCUUUAAGCCAGGGGUGAAAUCCUGGAGCUCAACUCCAGAACUGCCUUUGAUACUGAAGAUCUUGAGUUCGGGAGAGGUGAGUGGAACUGCGAGUGUAGAGGUGAAAUUCGUAGAUAUUCGCAAGAACACCAGUGGCGAAGGCGGCUCACUGGCCCGAUACUGACGCUGAGGCACGAAAGCGUGGGGAGCAAACAGGAUUAGAUACCCCUGUAGUCCCUGUCUCUUAUACA